rnacentral:hammerhead_ribozyme from 1 species
AUCCAGAUGACGAGUCCUAAAUAGGACGUAACGCGCGUGCUGGAU